GCCAGGAUGGCUGAGCGGUCCGAGGCGCUGCGUUCAGGUCUCAGUCCACUACUUGGGCGUGGGUUCGAAUCCCACUCUUGGCG
rnacentral:tRNA from 1 species